AGUGGAUGCUCAAUGGUUAAGGCAUUGGACUAGUGCUCAUAAGGUUGUGGGUUCAAAUCCCAAUAGCACCA